GUAAUUGUUGCUUUGGCAAGCCUGCCCUCGGGCUUGCUGGCUCCGGCCGGCGAGCGCUUGCCAGAGGACCUAAACUCUGUUUGUCUAUACUGUCUGAGUACUAUAUAAUAGUUAAAACUUUCAACAACGGAUCUCUUGGUUCUGGCAUCGAUGAAGAACGCAGCGAAAUGCGAUAAGUAAUGUGAAUUGCAGAAUUCAGUGAAUCAUCGAAUCUUUGAACGCACAUUGCGCCCCCUGGUAUUCCGGGGGGCAUGCCUGUCCGAGCGUCAUUACAACCCUCAAGCUCAGCUUGGUGUUGGGCCCCGCCGCCCCGGCGGGCCCUAAAGUCAGUGGCGGUGCCGUCCGGCUCCGAGCGUAGUAAUUCUUCUCGCUCUGGAGGUCCGGUCGUGUGCUCGCAGAACCCCAAUUUUUUCAGGUUGACCUCGGAUCAGG
rnacentral:rRNA from 1 species